rnacentral:rRNA from 1 species
GCAGCAGGACUGUAGCAAUACAGUUGCUGGCGACCGGCAAACGGGUGCGGAACACGUACGCAACUUACCCUGAACUGGGGGAUAGCCCGGGGAAACCCGGAUUAAUACCCCGUAAUACUUUGAGGUGGCAUCACCUUAUGGUUAUAGCUCCGGCGGUUCGGGAUGGGCGUGCGGCUGAUUAGGUAGUUGGUGUAGGUAACGGCUCACCAAGCCUGCGAUCAGUAACUGGUGUGAGAGCACGACCAGUCACACGGGCACUGAGACACGGGCCCGACUCCUACGGGAGGCAGCAGUAAGGAAUAUUGGUCAAUGGACGCAAGUCUGAACCAGCCAUGCCGCGUGGAGGAUGAAGGCCCUCUGGGUUGUAAACCUCUUUUAUAGGGGACGAAAUCAACUAUUCUUAGUUGUCUGACGGUACCCUAGGAAUAAGCACCGGCUAACUCCGUGCCAGCAGCCGCGGUAAUACGGAGGGUGCAAGCGUUA